rnacentral:piRNA from 1 species
CCUCAUGUGAUCUGGUUGUCUAACAGG